GUGAGGAAUAUUGGUCAAUGGACGAGAGUCUGAACCAGCCAAGUCGCGUGAAGGAAGACGGUUCUAUGAAUUGUAAACUUCUUUUGUGCAGGAAUAAAGUGGGUUACGUGUAACCUUUUGUAUGUACUGUACGAAUAAGGAUCGGCUAACUCCGUGCCAGCAGCCGCGGUAAUACGGAGGAUCCGAGCGUUAUCCGGAUUUAUUGGGUUUAAAGGGUGCGUAGGUGGAUUGAUAAGUCAGCGGUGAAAGUUUGCAGCUUAACUGUAAAAUUGCCGUUGAAACUGUCGGGCUUGAGUGCAAAUGAGGUAGGCGGAAUGUGUUGUGUAGCGGUGAAAUGCUUAGAUAUAACACAGAACUCCGAUUGCGAAGGCAGCUUACUGGGAUGCAACUGACACUGAUGCACGAAAGCGUGGGUAUCAAACAGGAUUAGAAACCCGGGUAGUCC
rnacentral:rRNA from 1 species